UUUUCUCCGGGAGAUGGCAUUCCUCCCGCCUGUUGGCUGCUUCCUGCCCGGAAGUCGCUGCAGCGAACCGCCCGUCCGGGCUGAUGAUGCCUGCAGGUAU
rnacentral:ncRNA from 1 species